GCGGCCGCGGUGUGCAGUGACAGUCCCCGACUGCGAGGCACGAGCCUCCAGCACCUGGCCGCCGCCAUCUUUGCCGGGAAUUGCGGUCCCGGAAGGCAAUUUCAGCAAUUGUCCCUGCCCUCUUGUCUUAGGGACCAAUCGGGAAGCGGAAUCCGAGCCAGGCUUGCGGAGACAGAUUUUCAGUAGGCUUGAGGAAGAAAGGGACCCUUGCUAUUGCCCCAGGAACCUUGGACAAAGUACCAGCCAGAGACCCAACUUGGGCAGAGAAGAUACCCUAAAUGGAGUAGACCUGGAGAUGCCAACCACACAUUUCACAAAUGAGGAACCUAAGACUCCAAGAGGACAGGCCAUGGCACAUUCAAUAUUCUUCGACAACACCAUAAUUCAAAGGCAUCAGUUCUUCUUCAGUCUUCCUUAUUCAUUGUCCUGCUUUCACAUGUGUAUGAGACUACUGAAAACACCAUGGCUUGGGGAAAUCCAACAGGACUGAUGGAUGCUGAAGGUAUACGGAAUCAUACUACUUCAAUCAAGACUGACUGGAUUAAAUGGCCCUUUGGAGCCCUGGUGCUGCAACGGUUAAGAGCUCAGGCUGCUAACCAAAAGUUUGGCAGUUUGAAUCCACCAGCCACUCCUUUGAAAUCCUGUGGGACAGCUCUACUCUGUCCUAUAGGGCUGCUAUGAGUCGAAAUCAACUCCACAGCAAGGGUUUUUUGUUUUGUUUUGUUUUGUUUUGGCUUGCUUAGCAGUGCCUCUGGUGUUAGGUGCAGUAAAAGAGAAGGAAAAAUGUCCUAUCUUGUCGGCAAUAGUGUAGUGGUUAGCUGCAAACUUAAUAAGCUUAUGUCUAAUGGUUGCUGAGACAUCUACUCUUUGCUAUUUUGUUUCUCACUUGGUAAUGAUUCCUAAUAGAUGAGAUUUGAAAAAGACAUAAAUCAUUAUUUCCCAGUUAGAACAGCAAUUCCAAAUCAAACAAUAUGUUUGGCAUUUUCAGAAAUGCUUUAUUGGAAUGAUCAAGGGGUUGAAAGGUUGGAGUGAGGCAUAAUGAUCAUUUCCCUUAAACGGGAGACGGUCAUGAUGAAAGUUGCUUUUUAUCAGUAAUUAGAGUUCUAUUGCAGCAACAUAUCCUAAUUAUGAUAUUUAGACCAUUAGCAAAUGAACAAUGUUAUUUAGAUUUUGCUAUGGAAAAUUACCUUAGGCCAUGUGGCAUCUUAUGGAGUGAUUGAGUGUAAUGCUGUUUGUGGUCUACGUCUCACUAACUCACCGACCCCUGUCUCACAUACACACUCCAUCUGGACUCACUUAUUAAAGGCAGUUUAGUGUUCAACACAGAACUUGAAAAGUGCCACUUCAAUGGGUUUGGAUGUGAAUUAUGAAUAUUUCUGCAUCUUAUUAAGUUUCAUACAACAUGGCAAACAUUAUGAAUGGUGAAAUACAGUGAAACAGGUAUCUAAUGAGAAGUAAACAUUUAUGAAUGACCACAGUCCUCUUUGAAUCAUUCUUUCAUAAUCACAGACAAUGAAUCGUAAAACAACUUAGAUAUUAGAAAAUGACUAGAGGUUAUUUUAAAAAUUAUUUGCCCUAGCAUAUUGUGUAAGCUAACUCAUCAGAUGAAUUCAUUCACCAUGCACCAGUCACAUUCACAUUAUCAGACACUAUGCCAGAAAUUAGGGGUAGAGGGAACUCUGCUCUAGAGGUGCUUUGUUCUGAAUGAGUCUAGUACAAAUAACAUUUCUACCCGUUGGGCAAUGAAGAGUUGUGGUUGGUACAGUUACCAGGACCUUCUUGCACUUUUUUAGGGUGAGAAAGAAAUGAUGCUGAUUUAAUAUUCUCGGAAAAACAGCUGAGUGUUAAGCAUCAAGAUCGAUUUCCUGGCCUGAUUUGUGUAAUUAGUCCAGCUCGCCUUGCCUUGGCAAUCUAGUGUUACCUGACCCGAGUGGCUGUUCUGUCACUUUCCUCACAGGACAGCAGUACUUUAGAAUUUAAGAGCUCUUUUGUUUCAGGAAAUUUUGCCAAUUAUUCAAUCUAAGGUUUCAUUUAUUUAAUGACUUCCUCAUUUUACCAGCUAACGUGCUUCCUCAUUCCAUCAUCUUUUUGCCUUUUUAUUGUGCUUAGUUGUUCUUUGGUCUAGCUACGGUCAAUUUGAUCUUUCUUCCUAAGUCAGUGACUCUAACCCCUGAAGGCAGAAGGCCAAAGGCCAAGUGACUUUAACGAACAAUGUAUGAAAACUCUGAAAGAAUCAUGAACUGGGUGACAUUACUGGGGACAUGUAAGUUGAGGGGAGGGUCUGAUGUUACUGUCAAUCUUAGUAAAGUAUCAACUCUGAGCUGCAAUAAUUCAAAAUGAAGUAUUUUUAUUGGUAUUGGAGAGCUUUUAAAGAUCUUUCCUUUUUUGUUUAUUUAGGCAUUUUGUGCCAUUAAUUGGGUGGGAGGCAUUGUGGAGUUUAUAGGAGCAAGAACAAUAAGGACAAAGGGGAGUUUCCAGCCCUGGGUAAUGUGUGGCCACUUGAAACUGUCAGAGGGGGUGUGCUUUAUGGAAAAUACUUAAACACAUUUCUGUAAAAUGCUUAAGAGAACUUGUGUAUAAUAUAAUAAUACUUUAGAAGUUUUAAUAAGCAGAUUACUUCCUAAUUUGUAGUGACAAACAUAUAAAGCAAUGGAAGAAAUCUUAGAGGCUUUAAACAUAUCAAUAUGUGCCCAUUGUUUGUCAGAGCUAUGAUUUUCUUUGGGUUAAAAUCGAUACCAGAUGCAUAAGAGUACUUAAUAAAUGUUAGUUAAGUGGGAUAAUUUUUACUUAUAUUCAUUACAAUUUUCUUUUUCGAUUAUUUGUGGUUUCGAGUUCCAUGAAUUCUAAUCUUAUUUUGCUAAUUUGACUUUUAAGUGUUAAUUUUAAGCUUUCUCUUCAUUUCUUUCCAGUAUCUUCAGACUUCUGUGUGGGGAUUUACACUUCAUAUUCUUUUGUCACUUAUUCAAUGUUGUCUUUGUUCUGUUUCGGAAAUUUUUCUUUACCAUUAUUUGCCAAUGUUUGAUGCCUUUGCAAGUGGAUUUAUGCUAAUUUUCAUUUUAAACAGCUUAAAAUUUUCACCCAAAAUUAUUUGCAUCCUGUUUUAAAAUUUAUGUUUUUGAUUUUUACAGAAAAUUAAGAUGGAAAAUUAUGCAGUAUGAGGGCAUUGUACCGUUUUCCAUACAAUGAAUAUACAAUUAUUUUAAAAAUUGUAGUUCUUACCUCUAAGACAAUUUUCUAGUUAAAUUUUCAUUAGUUAGGGAGUAAUUCUCAUUACUUUAUUCCAGAUGCUAUAUUAGGUCUAGCACAGAGUAAGCAUUCAGUAAAUGAAAGUUACUUUUUGUUAUCUGAUAUGCUUUGUAUUUUAGGAAAUCAUUUUACAUAAGGAAUUAAUCCUGUCAUACUUGAAUAGUGUUACAUUUGGAUCAAGUUGUUGGGAAAAUAAGGCAGACUCCCUUUCCUUUCGUGGGUCAUUUCAUCGAUCUCUUAGGCUAAUAAUCAGUUUCAGAGUACUCAGACAAAUAUGUCAGUCCCUUUAACAUAGCCAAAUAAACAUCUACUACAAAUGAAAGAAAAUUCUCUCAAUAACUCUGUUAGAUAAAUUAAGCCAUUUUAGAUAGUUGAGGAUUAUUAUUCAUGGAAAACCCCACGUGUGAUUCUUCUAAACACAGACCGAGAAAAAAUUGUUGUUAAUGUAUAUUUCCAAGUGUCACAGAUAGGGUGGAAAAAAAAUACGUGAAAUAUUUGGACUAGAGUAUCACCCAUCUCAUCCUUUCAGAUGUCUUAACAAUUGAUCUGGAACUUCACAUAUUCUCUCUGAUGAUAGCAGUCAUCUAAAUAGUCAAAAUUACUCUGUUGGCAUGCCAAGGUUCAGUCUGACUGUAAGAUAUAAACAUGAUCAUCAUUAUCAAAUACGGGCCAGAUGUUCAUCUCCUGAUUCUAUGGAAACGAUUACUUGUGUUAUGGCGUGUACUGAGUCUUGUCAUGAAAAAAACAAACUUCAUUUAGCAUAGAAGAAAGUGCACAAUUUUGAAUGAUCCUACUGAAUGAAAAAAAGAGAGAGAGAGAGAGAGAUUUUCUUGGAUAGAAUUGAUAUUUGGGCACUGAGGCCUAUGAUUUUGCUCAAUGAGAGUAAUCUUCCCAUCUAUCCCUAACUGUUACUCCUUCAGUGCAUCAUCUCAUUUAUUCUUAUGAGCAUGUUCUAAUUUAAGAGGGUGAGAGUUUUCUUCACCCAGAUAUCCUCUUUUCUUCCAGUUAUUCUAAUUUAAUAAUAGUUACUGAAGGAGAAAACCCAAAGAAGACUCAUUUCUUAAUUAGCCCUGCAUUUUUUAAAUAUAUUUUUGUUCAUAUAACUACACUGAUUGGUUUAAAGUCAGGAAAGGCGUGCAUCAGGGGUGUAUUCUUUCACCAUAUCUAUUCAAUCUGUAUGCUGAGCAAAUAAUACGAGAAGCUGGACUAUAUGAAGAACAGGGCAUCAGGAUUGGAGGAAGACUCAUUAACAACCUGCGUUAUGCAGAUGACACAACCUUGCUUGCUGAAAGUGAAGAGGACUUGAAGCACUUACUAAUGAAGAUUACAGACCACAGCCUUCAUUCAGUAUGGUUUGCAGCUCAACAUAACGAAAACAAAAAUCCUCACAACUGGACCAAUGAGCAACAUCAUGAUAAAUGGAGAAAAGAUUGAAGUUAUCAAGGAUUUCAUUUUACUUGGAUCCACAAUCAACACCCAUGGAAGCAGCAGUCAAGAAAUCAAAAGACACAUUGCACUGGGUAAAUCUGCUGCAAAGGACCUCUUUAAAGUGUUGAAGAAUGAAAAUGUUACCUUGAAGACUAAGGUGCACCUGACCCAAGCCAUGGUAUUUUCAAUCGCAUCAUAUGCAUGUGAAAGCUGAACAAUGAAUAAGGAAGACCGAAGAAGAUUUGACGCCUUUGAAUUGUGGUGUUGGCGAAGAAUAUUGAAUAUACCAUGGACUGCCAAAAGCACCAACAAAUCUGUCUUAGAAGAAGUACAGCCAGAAUGCUCCUUAAAAGCAAGGAUGGCAAGACUGCGUCUUACAUACUUUGGACGUGUUGUCAGGAGGGAUCAGUCCCUGGAGAAGGACAUCAUGCUUGGCAGAGUACAGGGUCCGUGGAAAAGAGGAAGACCCUCAACGAGGCGGAUUGACACAGUGGCUGCAACAAUGAGCUCAAGCAUAACAACGAUUAUAAGGAUGGCGCAGGACUGGGCAGUGUUUCGUUCUGUUGUGCACAGGGUCGCUAUGAGUGGGAACUGACUCAACAGCACCUAACAACAACAACUACAUUUUAUCACAUACAGAAACUUAAAACAAAACUUCAUUGAUAACCUUAUAACCAGAUAUCACCCAAUCGAUUCUGACUUAUGGUGACCCCAUGUGCGUCAGAGUAGAACUGUGUUCCACAGGGCAUUCGAUGGAUGAUUUUUCAAAUGUAGAUCACCACACCUUUCUUCCAAGGCACUUCUGGGUGGAUUCAAACUUCCAACCUUUAGGUUAGCAGCUGAGCACAUUAACAAACCUUAUAAAACAUGCUAUUUACUGUAUUUUGGUCUAUCUUGUUUUGUUCAUAAACAUGAAGCCCAGAGAAAAUUUUCACUUCUUUUAUUCUGUUUCUGAACACAACUGGCCAUUUUAUCUUACAUCUAGAUAGAAAAAGAAACACAGUAAUAUAGAUUAAAAUAUGCCUGCAAAGACAAAAAAAUAUAGUCACUUCUGCAGAGGGAAAGAUUUUCAAAGAUGAUGCUUGUGUUUCAGGCUAUAUUGGAUUAAAAAAAAAUAUAUUGGAUUAGGAUGUAUUAAAGUCACGUAUUUCAUUGAAUUACAAUUGUUACUACCAUAGAAUGUUAUUUUGGAAGCAUUCACUUAGUUAAAAAUGUACUGUAAAGGCAUGCAUUGAACAAUGUUUCAUGCUUUCCAGUUUCAUGUGUGACUCUUAGCAUAUUUGAAGUAAAGGUUUGCAAUGAAGGUGGAUGUGAAUUGCCUACACAAGCCACACUGAAAAGAAUUUUGAAACUCAGUUUAAGAGUUUAAAGUCAUUCAUUCCAUUGAUGUGUUCACUGCAACCUAUACAGUUAUGCCAUCUGUCACAGUCUUAAAAAUUUAUUUACUCUUUAGAACCCUUGUAUGUAAAGGCGUAUCUGAAGAUCGCUAAAUAGGUAGGGUUGAGUAGGCAUUGUAAUUUCAUGUCUCCACUGGAAAGCAAUUUGAAAUCAGCUGAACAUUAUCAUAUGAACUAUUUAAAUCACAGGGUCAUGUUCAUUAGUAGAUAUCAAAAUUGCUAUGAAAACAAUCCCCUAAUACAAUAUCUAACUCCAAUAUCCUAUAGAUAAAGAACCAAAAUAUUUUAUUUUUCUUCUAGUAUUUUAAUUUGGAAUUAAAUUUAAAAGUUCUCCAGUGACAGCCUAGUAAUUGCCUUUAACAUUCUACAACAGUUUGAAGUAUUUAAAAAAUAAGUGUUUUACUUCAGAUAUGCUUCAUAGCUAUUAGUCAUCUUUAAUGAAUCAAAUAUUUAUCUAUUUGGCUGAGCAUGUUUUCAAAUUAUU